AUUCAUUAUUUAGGAGCGUGGCUUCGGUCUCUCCAUAAUUAAUCAAAUAAAAUGGUCGCAGAAAAUGAGCAGCUGACACAGGGAUUUGUUUACAUUAACGGUGCAGUAGAACUGACAAAGAGUGAAAUGAAGGGACACCUCGGCCAGGAGGCUCUCAUGUUGUGUGUUGACACCAAAUCGAGGGAUGGAUGUUGGAGGGAGACUCGGACUGGGGCUCAGUUUUCUCACUCCACUUAUCUGAGACAUCGGCCGGCGUUUUUUCUCCUCCUUACACGCUGCUGACACAAUCUCCACGUCAUGCUGUUUUUCUGCAACACAAACAGAGGUCUCUAGCUGGUCCAAACACCAAUCCAGCUCUUCAAGGGUCUCGACGGCGAGUUUCUGAUAUGCCUCAUCUGCAACAAACAACCUCAGAUGUCAGAACAUCGAUAAUACGUUACAGUGCAUGUUGAAAGCUCACAUCUCGCUGGCCAUCGAGGAGUUUCUGGACAUCGUCUUGGGCGAGAGGUCAAAAUCCGAGUCCGAGCGGUAAAGGAAAGACUCUCGCCUCUGGCUGUUGGCCUGGAGGACCAGACCUG